rnacentral:pre_miRNA from 1 species
AGGGGGAGUGCAGGAUCCUGGGCUGUGUACCCCCUGCGCCCUGGGAUCCGGGUUCUGUGCUGCUGGAAUCGCGCUCCCGGGGCCCCCU